GCACCUGAAGUCAAGUAAGAUGACCCGCUGGACUUAAGCAUAUUACUAAGCGGAGGAGAAGAAAUUAACAAAGAUUGCCUUAGUAAGGGCGACUGAACCGGCAAAAGCUCGAAAUUGGAAUCGGAGGUUCAAAGAAUCUUCGAAUUGUAAUCAUGACCACCAAAAUACGAGAGAUCGCUUAAUCACUUCGAAAAGUGAGCCAUGGAGGGUGAAAGCCCCGUGUAGCGUUUUCUCGAAAAAUGGGGGCAUCGUAGAAAGAGUCGGGUUGCUUGGAACUGCAGCCCUAAAUGGGAGAUAUGAAUCUUCCAAAGCUAAAUAUGG
rnacentral:rRNA from 1 species